rnacentral:rRNA from 1 species
AACGAACGCUGGCGGCAUGCCUAACACAUGCAAGUCGAACGAAGGCUUCGGCCUUAGUGGCGCACGGGUUCGUAACGCGUGGGAAUCUGCCCAUUGGGUCGGAAUACCAGCUGGAAACGGCUGCCAAUAGCGGACGAUGACUAAAACCCAAAGAUUUAUUGCCAGAGGAUGAGCCGGCGUUGGAUUCGGUUGUUGGUGUGGUAAAGGCCGCCCAAGCCGACGAUCCAUAACUGGUCUGAGAGGAAGAUCAGCCACACUUGGAGUAGGAAACGGCCCGGACUCCUACGGGAGGGGGCAGAGGGGAAUAGUGGACAGUGGGGUCAAGGCUGAAGCACCAAGGCCGGUAGAGUGAUGAAGUCAGGAGGGUUGUAAAGCGCUUUUAACUGUGAAGAUAAUGACGGUACCGGGAGAAUAAGCCCCGGCUAACUCCGUG